AUACGGAGGGUGCAAGCGUUACUCGGAAUCACGGGGCGUAAAGGACGCGUAGGCGGGUUGGUAAGUCAGGUGUGAAAUCCUACAGCUUAACUGUAGAACUGCACUUGAAACUACCAACCUAGAGUAUGGGAGGGGGAGAUGGAAUUAGUGGUGUAGGGGUAAAAUCCGUAGAUAUCACUAGGAAUACCGAAAGCGAAGGCGAUCUCCUGGAACAUAACUGACGCUAAGGCGUGAAAGCGUGGGGAGCAAACAGGAUUAGAUACCCGAGUAGUCC
rnacentral:rRNA from 1 species